rnacentral:rRNA from 1 species
GGAAUAUUGGUCAAUGGGCGUAAGCCUGAACCAGCCAAGUAGCGUGCAGGAUGACGGCCCUAUGGGUUGUAAACUGCUUUUAUACGGGGAUAAAGUGAGGGACGUGUCCCUUAUUGUAGGUACCGUAUGAAUAAGGACCGGCUAAUUCCGUGCCAGCAGCCGCGGUAAUACGGAAGGUCCGGGCGUUAUCCGGAUUUAUUGGGUUUAAAGGGAGCGCAGGCCGACUGGUAAGCGUGACGUGAAAUGUAGCCGCUCAACGGCUGAACUGCGUCGCGAACUGUCAGUCUUGAGUGAGUACGACGUCAGCGGAAUUCGUGGUGUAGCGGUGAAAUGCUUAGAUAUCACGAAGAACCCCGAUUGCGAAGGCAGCUGACGAGUCCUUUACUGACGCUAAAGCUCGAAGGUGCGGGUAUCGAACA